rnacentral:rRNA from 1 species
UACGAAGGGGGGCUAGCGUUGUUCGGAAUUACUGGGCGUAAAGCGCACGUAGGCGGAUAUUUAAGUCAGGGGUGAAAUCCCAGAGCUCAACUCUGGAACUGCCUUUGAUACUGGGUAUCUUGAGUAUGGAAGAGGUAAGUGGAAUUCCGAGUGUAGAGGUGAAAUUCGUAGAUAUUCGGAGGAACACCAGUGGCGAAGGCGGCUUACUGGUCCAUUAUUGACGCUGAGGUGCGAAAGCGUGGGGAGCAAACAGG